CCCCUCCUCCGGGCGGACGGCGGCGUGGGGAGGGAGGCGCGGCAGAGAAGUCGCACGUUGUCGAGACGCGCUCGCACCCAGUUAGACAACAAAACAGCAGAGCCUAAGGCGCCCUUAGUUAAGUGCACUGGAGCUGAAAACAGCUGAACCCUGGGCCCAAUCUCCAGAUUCCUGAGCAAGGACUUUUUCGUUUGAUAAAGAAAGCGAAGGAGACAAAGGGAUGCACAGCGCACAGAUCCGAGAGCGCAAAGCUCCCUGCUCAAGAUGAAGAGCCCUCUCUCCGCUCAGCCUGCCUCCCAGUUGCCAUGGUUACCUCUUCGGUUUCCAGGCAGAAACUUUUUUGAAGUUCUCGUUUAUCCCAAAUUCUCUUCCCAGCAGGAGAAGCUGCUGGAUCCGGAUCCCGAGGCUUCCCGAACCCCCCGGCUGUAGUAAUAGCGAUGACAGUGGCUCCCAUGAAGCCAGCGUUCCCUCUGCUCUAUGUUUAUGGGCUUUCUCAUCUCAGCUCAUCCUCAGGCUCACUUCUGCACGAGGUACGCUCCCUGUUGUUGUUUUACAGAUGGGGAAACUGACACGUAGAGCCGCUCCUGGAGGAAGUGACAAAAGGGUGGAGCCAUGAUUUGAUACCCGGUCAUCUGACUCCAGCGUCCCCGCAGUGAGCCCCUCCGUAGAGACGUCCCUGUCCCUGCCCCCUCCAGAGGUGCAGAAAGCUCUUUCCUGACCUGAGUUCCAAAACACGCUCCACCUCAGCUCCCAGGGCAUCUGAGAGAUGGUUUAGCCUUUCUUCUCUUUUAGCUCAAUCUGGUCUUCCUUUCUUGGGAACAGGAAAGGACCUUUCAGCUUCCAAGGCACAGUGCAUGAAGGGCCAGCUCUGCCAAUGCCGGCAGCUUUUGACUCUGGAAACAGGCAGAUCGCCUAAAAUGUCUCUCUAUUUUAAGAACGGUACUUUCACUUACCUAGCAAUUAUCCAGCCCUAGCCUGCAGUUUGGAGUCUCUCACAAAUGAGCUCAUUUCAUGGGAACCUGCCAUGUGGGCGGGGCCAGGUGGGCACCCCGCCUCCCCACCUAGUCUCCCACCUUGGUGGCUGCUCUCAUCUUUGUCCCUUCCAUAUAGGUGUCGCCCAAGACUGUGCCCCAGCCGGCGGGCCAGCCGCUCUCUUUUGCCUCAGCCCCCGCCACCAGACUAAGUUGUUUUUGCUUCAAUCACUGUCUGUAUGCUGCUGCCCACCCCCGUCUCUGUCCCCUGCCCGUGUUCGGGACCCAUAUUUCCACCUGCAUUUUAGGUGUCUUCAUACUUAUCCAAACCUCAUUCGAUGUCGCCUAUUCACCAUCACACGUGACUCGAUGAAUGGGACCGAUGCAUGGCACUAAAGCAUCCAUUUGCUCUCGAAAAGAAUCUUACGGUCCACAAUCCCUCACGUCCCUCCCUCCUGUUUCCAGUCAGCCUCCACGUCCUGUCUACAAACUGUUAGUCUCCAACUGCUCUUCAGCACACGUUGAUAACUGGGUAUUUCAGCUUCAAGUUUCAUGGCCCGCUCCCUUCGUACUUUUCUUGACAACCAAAGAUCCAUAGGUCAGUAGUUAUAUGUAUCAGGGAAGCUCACCAUUAAUGGACUUCCAAGUGAAAUGGCCUCGUGAAGUGAAAAAAAAUUGCUCCUUGAUAAGAAAGAUCAUCCCUGAAGACACCUGUCUUGUGAACUGGAUUUCUCUUCUCGGUUUUUAUUCCUCAGAGAGUGUGUAUAUACUUGGGAGUCUCAUAAUAAAGAAGUACU